UACGAAGGGGGCUAGCGUUGCUCGGAAUGACUGGGCGUAAAGGGCGCGUAGGCGGCAUACACAGUCAGAUGUGAAAUUCCUGGGCUCAACCUGGGGACUGCAUUUGAUACGUGUAAGCUAGAGUGGAGAAGAGGGUCGUGGAAUUUCCAGUGUAGAGGUGAAAUUCGUAGAUAUUGGAAAGAACACCGGUGGCGAAGGCGGCGACCUGGUCUUUAACUGACGCUGAGGCGCGAAAGCGUGGGGAGCAAACAGGGAUUAGAUACCCUGGUAGUCCACGCUGUAAACGAUGUGUGCUGGAUGUUGGGAAACUUAGUUUUCAGUGUCGUAGCUAACGCGAUAAGCACACCGCCUGGGGAGUACGGCCGCAGGGUUGAAACUCAA
rnacentral:rRNA from 1 species